GCUUGGGUGGCUCAGUGGUUGAGCGUCUGCCUUUGGCUCAAGGCAUAAUCCCAGGACUGUGGGAUUGAGUCCCACAUCAGGCU
rnacentral:tRNA from 1 species